rnacentral:rRNA from 1 species
AGCGAACGCUGGCGGCAGGCCUAACACACGCAAGUCGAACGGACCCUUCGGGGUUAGUGGCGGACGGGUGAGUAACACGUGGGAACGUGCCUUUAGGUUCGGAAUAGCUCCUGGAAACGGGUGGUAAUGCCGAAUGUGCCCUUCGGGGGAAAGAUUUAUAGCCUUUAGAGCGGCCCGGGUCUGAAUAGCUAGUUGGUGAGGUAAAGGCUCACCAAGGCGACGAUCAGUAGCUGGGCUGAGAGUAUGACCAGCCACAUUGGAACUGAGAAACGGCCCAAACUCCUACGGAAGGCAACAGUGGAGAAUCUUUCGCAAUGAGCGAAAGCCUGACGCAGCCAAGCCACGUGAAUGAUGAAGGUCUUAGGAUUGUAAAAUUCUUUCACCGGGGACGAUAAUGACGGUACCCGGAGAAGAAGCCCCGGCUAACUUCGUGCCAGCCGCCGCAGUAA